GGGAACAUACUUUUUAUAUAACUUAUGAAUGGACAUUUCAGAGCCCAUUGAAGCCUAUACUGAAAAUCCAAAUAUCCUGCGAUAAAAACUAGGAGUAAGCUAUCUGUGAAAAUGCUUUGCGAGGUUUGGAUUAAUCUCACAGAUUUAAGCUGUUGCUUUGAUUUAGCAGCAGGUUGGAAACCCUCUUUUUCUACAAUCUACUAGGGUACUAUUCGGACCAAAUUGAGGCCUAUACUGAAAAACUGAUUAUCCCGUGAUAAAAACUAGAAAAAAGCUGUCAGUAAAAAUGCUGUGCAAUAUGUGGAUUCAUGUCACAAAUUUAAACCUCUGCAUUUAUUCAGCAAGUUUGGAAUACCUUUUU
rnacentral:lncRNA from 1 species